rnacentral:rRNA from 1 species
AUUGAACGCUGGCGGCAUGCUUUACACAUGCAAGUCGGACGAGUGGCGAACGGGUGAGUAAUAUAUUGGAACGUACCGAGUAAUGGGGGAUAACCAAUCGAAAGAUUGGCUAAUACCGUAUACUAUUCGAGCGGCCAAUAUCCGAUUAGCUAGUUGGUGGGGUAAAGGCCUACCAAGCCGACGACCUGUAGCGGGUCUGAGAGGAUGAUCCGCCACACUGGGACUGAGACACGGCCCAGACUCCUACGUGAGGCAGCAGUGGGGUAUUUUGCACAAUAGGCGCAAGCCUGAUGCAGCCAUGCCGCGUGAAUGAAGAAGGCCUUCGGGUUGUAAAGUACUUUUGUUAGGGAAGCGUUACCUAAAGAAUAAGCACCGGCUAACUCCGUACCAGCAGCCGCGGUAAUUC